AGACGCUCUAAGGGAGUGAAGGGGUGGAGCUUAAGGGAAAGAGGCAGGACAUAGACCUCCACAAGAGAAGGGGAUAUAAGGAGGGCAGAACAUUGGAUACCGCAGAAAAGAAGGCCAAUCACUUAACGCAAUGGGCGGGUCAUUGACAGCCUCUCCCGCUCAGGAGGAGAGGCUUAAAGUAGAUAUGCAAGCCAUUGGAUACCACAAGAGAAGCGCCUCAAGGAUCCAUGGUAAGAACUAAAAUGAACCAGGGUGCUUGAGGAAAAAAAGCUGAAUAAUGGAGACGACUUCUUCUCUCCUGGGGGAUCACAGAGGGUUACUGGAUGAAGUGAGUUUAACCAGACACUGGGAGAAUGAAUAGAAGUUGGACAUGAUAGUGAGGCGAGCCCUGGGAGGGCAUGAGGAGCAGAGGGAAGAGCAAAAACAAGCGUCUGAUCCUCACUUAAGGUCAGGAGUACGAGACCAGCCUGGCCAACAUGGUGAAAUCCCAUCUCUAGAAAAAAUACAAAAAUUAGCCGGGCGUGGUGGUGGGCGCCUAUACUCCUAGCUACUUGGGAGGCUGAGGCAGGAUAAUCACUUGAACCUGGGAGGCGGAGGGUGCAGUGAGCCGAGAUCACGCCGUUACACUACAACCUGGGUGACAGAGCGAGACUCCGUUGCAAAAAACAAACGAGACCGGGCGCGGUGGCUCACGCCUGUAAUCCCAACACUUUGAGAGGCCGAGGCGGGUAGAUCACUUGAAGUCAGGAGUUUGAGACCACCCUGGCCAACAUGGUGAAACCGCAUCUCUACUAAAAAUACAAAAAAUUAGCCAGGCGUGGUGGCAGGCGCCUGUAAUUCCAGCUACUCGGGAGGCUGAGGCACGAGAAUCACUUGAACCCGGGAAGCGGAGGUUGCAGUGAGCCAAGAUCAUGCCACUGCACUCCAGCCUGGGUGACAGAGCGAGACUUUGAUUCAAAAAAAAAAAGAAAAGAAAAGAAAAAGCAAACAAGCAAAAACAAGAACAACAACAGCAACAACAAAAAACCCAUCUGAUCCUAGGAUGACUGUGUGUGAGUAGGGGAAACAGAUAAAGCUGGAGGGCUGGAGGGGUCCGUAGAGGACCUAUCACAAUACAUUACAAACAUAAAUGAGAAGUUUGGGUUUUAUUUUAACUUCUUGGGAAACUAUUGGGGGGAUCUGAUCAGAGGAUACAAAGAGAGUAUUUUAUUCUCAAAAAACAUCCCUAUGCAUGUGAAAUAUGGAUCAACAAAGACCAUUUCUUUAAAACUGAAACGUAAGGCCUGGCAUGGCAUCUCACACCAGUAAUCCCAGCACGACUGAGGUGGAAAAUUCGCUUGAGCCCAGGAGUUCGAGACCAGCCUGAGCAACAUGGUUAAACCCCAUCUCUACAAAAAAUAUAAAAAUCAGUUGGGCAUGAUCCGCACACUUCUACUCUGAGCUACUCAGGAGGCUGAGGAAUGAGGAUCGAGCCCAGGGAGGCAAUGGUUGCAGUGAGCUGAGAUUGCACCACUGCACUCCAUCCUGGGCAACAGAGCUAGACCCUGUUUCAAAAAAAUACAAUAGGCCGGGCGCGGUGGCUCACGCCUGUAAUCCCAGCACUUUGGGAGGCUGAGGUGGGCAGAUCACGAAGUCAGGAGUUUGAGACCAGGGCAGCCAACAUAGUGAAACCCCAUGUCUACUGAAAAACAAAAAUUAGCUGGGCAUGAUGGUGUGUGCCUGUAGUCCCAGCUACUCAGGAGACUGAGGCAGGGAGAAUCGCUUGAACCCGGAGGGGGCGGUUGCAGUGAGCCGAGAUUGCGCCACUGCACUGCAGCUUGGGCAACAGAGUUAGACUUCGUCUCAAAAAAAUAAAUAAAUAAAAUAAAAAUUAAACAUAGGCCAGGUGCCGCGGCUUAUGCGUGUAAUCCCAGCACUUUGGGAGGCCGAGGCAGGUGGAUCACGAUGUCAGGAGAUCGAGAUCAUCCUGGCUAACACAGUGAAACCCCAUCUCUACUAAAAAUACAAAAAAUUAGCCGGGCGUGGUGGCGGGCACCUGCAGUCCCAGCUACUUGGGAGGCUGAGGCAGGAGAA
rnacentral:lncRNA from 10 species